GGUGAGAUGGCCGAGUGGUUAUGGCGCCGUGUUCAGGCCGCAUAUUGAAGCAUCAAUAUACAAUUUCGCGGUGGAGCAAUCCGCGUGGGUUCGAGUCCCACUCUCAUCA